UGAUCCUACGGGAGGCAGCAGUGGGGAACAUUGGACAAUGGGGGGAACCCUGAUCCAGCGACGCCGCGUGAGUGAAGAAGUAUUUCGGUAUGUAAAGCUCUAUCAGCAGGGAAGAAAAUGACGGUACCUGACUAAGAAGCCCCGGCUAACUACGUGCCAGCAGCCGCGGUAAUACGUAGGGGGCAAGCGUUAUCCGGAUUUACUGGGUGUAAAGGGAGCGUAGACGGUGCAGCAAGUCUGAUGUGAAAGGUCGGGGCCCAACCCCGGAACUGCUUUGGAAACUGUGAAGCUAGAGUGCGGGAGAG
rnacentral:rRNA from 1 species